UCUAUUAAAGGUAGAAAGCAAACAUAUGUCAAUACACAGAAGACAAAAACCUUAUUUUUUUUCUACGAGUAAUUUUAUAAUGAAGUAGCAAUUAAACUAAACACACACUAUAUUUGAAAUAUUUUUUAAAGUCCACAGGCAGAAGAACUUUAUGAGUGAGAAGCUGAAUUGUUAAUGGUUAUGUUGUGUGUCUCACCACACCAUGUUGGCUAGUUCACAUGACAAGAUUUUGUCUAUAGCAGCACUCUAACUGUGUAAUUCUCUCCCAAGGAAAAUCAGGCUGGUUCCAUCCUUUGCGUUGUGUUGUUUGAUGAGGCCUUCAGUUCUUAAAACCAGAGGAACCACGAGGGCAUGUAGGAGAUCUGUAAAGUUGGUGACUACGACAGAACAGGAGAAAGCCUUAUCACUGCUGGCAGAAGUGAAGAUAAAGGAAAGCCCUGCCACUUGGUGACAAUGCUUGGAUAACUAGACCUUACAGGUGCCUAUGAAGUUGGAUACAGAAUUUCCUUUCUCACUUUAUUGACUGCAAGGUUCUUUCAAGAAAACCCCAAAGAAAAGUAUGAAUGUUAUGACUGUUACCUGCUCAGGCUCCAGCUGAAUCGCCCUGUCAUAGCAAGCUGUGGCAUCUCUCAACAAUCCAAUGCUUUCAUGUUCAAGGAUCUGUUCUUUGAGCGAUGGCUCUGCUUUCCGUAUUGCACUCACUCCUUCCACUCCAUCUGCCUCAUGCAUCGCUGCAUACAGUUUCUUUAUAGGGGGAAGAAAACUAUAUAUCACAAAAAGCAUUUGGCGGCAUGUUUGUCAGGCACUUAGCUUAAUAUUUUGUUAACAUCUCUCCAGGUAAUAUUCAAAGGGUGUCAUAAAGAUUUUGAUUUCAUCACUUUAUCAAUAAAAUUUAGAAAAAUCACAUUUUCUCACUGUUCGCUGGAAAGAAGUAAUCUCUUUUUCUUUGCUUUAUCGUCUUUUCAAAUAUUUUUAAAACGCUGAAUUAGAUUGGAUUUUUAGUUUACUAUAGAACAGUUCUAAAUUGGGAUUACAACUCUGGAGGCCAGCAUUCAAAUCCUUGGUUAGCCAUGGAAAGUCAUUGAGUGACCAUGGGAAAGUCACACACUCUCAGCCUCAGAAGGUGGCAACAAAUCUUGCCAAGAAAACCCCAUGAUAUAUCCUUCUUAGAGUUGCCAUAAGUCUGAAAUGAAUUGAAGCCACACAUUAUGCAUCAACAAUUAAAUUUAUCUACUAUUGACUUUCUUGCAAACAUGACAUGAAUUACCUGAAAUCAGAUUCACAGAUAAGCCAACUCAAGUAUAUUUUAAGCAUUUAUUAAGUAAUCUAACAUAUUUUUCACUUUACUUAAUAGUCUCAAUUUAUAAAACUGAAAGCGGUUGCUUUGGGCUAAAUUUAUUGCUGUACUAGUGCCAGGACUCCUAUCUUGAAGCCUUGAAAGCUUCAGGAGUGGAAGCUCAUUCCCUAUUCUUUUUCCACAGAUGUGUCCAUUGAUUCCAGUUGUUUCACAGCAACUUAAAACAACACAUUUGUAGAAAGCUGUGGAUAUGUUACUUGAUAAGAGAUAAGAAUUCUCUAUUAAAUGAGACUCACAAUAUAACAAUAUGAGGAACCUGAAGUCUGGAUUGUUUACAUAACAAACAAAAUAUUAAACCUGUAGAAAUCCCA